GGAAAAUACAUAAACAUAUAAAUGACAGCUCCACUCUACACUUUAUCUCUGGGUUUCACACAUUUGUUUUCCUUUGCAAAUAUGAGGAAAAUUCAGAAUUUUAGUGAGAAAAAUUAUUGAUGGAAAAUAUUGCUUCCAUUUUUGGGCCUUUAGAAGAAUCCUAAAGUACCUAUUUUUCAAACCAUAAUGAGAGAAUUCCAAAUGCAAACUAAAGCAACCAUGCAGGCCUCUAGAGAGAAAGGGGAAUAUUAUUAUGUAUAGUCUAUCAUCAUUAUCAUCACCAAAUAGUCUUUGUUAAAGUCUUCAGGAUCACAAGGCAGUGGAGUGGUUAAAUUGGCAUUUCUGUCUCUUCCCAAGAGCUUGUAGUUUAAAUAGAAACAGAGCAGCAAAGACAAACACAUACAAGGUCAGGCUGACACCAACACUAAACAUUAACAUACUAAUUAAAAUAGAAUACAUCUCAUUACAGUUCAAUAAGAAUGGGAGGCAGGAAGAUGUAAUAUGAAAAAGUGCUAAAUUAGAGAGUCAAAAGACUUUGCAGCAUGCUGGGUGUACUGCUUUGAGCAAGUCACUCCUAAGGUUAAAACACUUGGUAAGACUUGGAGGAGGUAGUUUGGAAUAGUGAACCAAAGACAGAAUCUGGAGUCAGGAAACCACUCAACUUCUGUAACCAUGGUGAGAUGGUAUCUUCUGGUUAUAAUAGAUAGUCUUCUCUGUUUCUAAAAAUAAAGAAACUGAGGUUUAGGAAAGGCAACUGCUAGCUCAUCCAUUAUUUGAUUGGAAGACGGGGAACACCCGACAAAAUUAAGAGCAGAGAGAAAUAUUAAUGAAUGGAAUUACAAGAAGUUGACCUCAGGGAAAUCGGAAGGUAAGCAGACUCCUCUUCCUAUGUCUUUAUUUCUCAGGCUAUAUGAUCUUUUGGCUCAUGCAUUUUUAACAGAUUUAACAAAUAUUAACUGAGAGCCUACUAUAUGUUGAGCACACUUAUGUGUCCUGGAGAUCCCAUACUGUACAUGAGCAAUAAUGUUUCUCUUUUCAUGGAGAUGCUAUUCUAGGAGACAAGGAGAAACAGUAAAACAAGUGAACAGACAAGAAAAUUUCUUAGCUAAAAGAGU
rnacentral:lncRNA from 1 species